GGCUCCAUGGCGUAAUGGCGAUCGCGUCAGACUUCGGAUCUGAAGGUUGUGGGUUCGAGUCCCAUUGGAGUCG